GGGGCCCUCCAAAAAAUCAAGACUACUUGGAGAGAUGCAGCUGCCUAUGCACCUCCAACAGAUGUUUCGAUCUGAAAACUGGACGGUCCUGCUCUCCAUGUAAAGAUCACAAGUCUCACCUGGCAGAGACUGUAAACUGUGGAGAGAUAAAUAUAAAAAUCCCAGAAUAUGAAGAACUAAUUCUGGACUGUACUUUUG